UUAAAACGACACAUGUUUACCCACACUGAGGAGAGACCUUAUAAAUGUGACCUGUGUGAGAAGACUUUUAAAUGCUCCACAUUACCUGAGAGACACCAACAGAUCCACACCAGAAAGAGACUCUACAAGUGCAGCUACUGUGAGAAGCAGAGCGACACAGAUGGAUCCAGUUCUCAACCCUGUCAUCACCGUGGUGGUGGGAAAGACUUUCGUUGUGACCUCUGUGGAAAAACUUUCAGCCAGAAAGACCUUAAAAACACAUCAACGUAGACACACUGGAGACAAACUGAAAUACUGCAAAGAAUGUGGGAGAAGCUUCACCACAUCAACUGAGUUAAAACGACAUGAACUGAUUCACAGUGGGGUUAAAAAGCACCUCUGUGAUCAGUGUGGGUCAUCCUUCACCACUGCAAGUGAGCUUAAAAGACACAAACGAGUCCACACAGGAGAGAAACCAUACAAGUGCAGACACUGUGACAAAAGCUUCUCAGAUUCAGGUAAUCGUAACAAGCAUGAACGUACACACAUGGAAGGAAACUACAGCUGUGACCAGUGUGACAAGAGCUUCAGGAAUCUCAGUUCAUACUCCGAACACAAACGAUCCCACGUUACUAAUAAACUGUUUCACUGUUACCAAUGUGCCCAAACAUUCACCUCAUUGUCUGCUCUGUGCAAACAUCAGCGUGAUCACUCAGGGCUGAAAUCACUCCCAUCACUGGAUCACAGUGAAUCUGAAGAGACAGAAAGAUCCUCUGGUUUCAGUGUCAGACUCAAAAAGCUUGAGAUCAGGCUCCACAGAGUUCAGAUAGAAUCAUUUAAACUUGUGUUGAACUGAACUGGUUGCUGGGCUGAACUUCUACAUAAUACAGAUUUACAUGGGAUCUUAUUUUCUGUCGUUUUACUGAGUCAGUUUUGUCCUUUUUUCUCUGUCCUGGUUUUGCUCGUCUGUAAAUAAUUGAAACUCAGUCAAAUAGUUCAUUGUUCUCCAGCAAAACGUUUUGGAAACUCAUGUUUAACCUUUAAAACUCUGACAUGUUUUAGCACACAAGGCUUCAUCGGGGAGUUCACUCAUGAUUGGACCAUGAGAACAAAGGUUUUUAGUUCUUUCAAAGAGAGUCUUGGAGAUGUUUGAUGUUUCUGUUUUUCUGAAACCACCUGAAAGAAAAACUAUUUUUCUUGCUUUAUGUAGUGUGGAAGUUUUUAAUGUUUCUUCAUCUGUGAUGUUCUUGAAUGUGUUCACAUGAAGAUGGUACAAAUAAACUGUCCUUUUAGCUUCA